rnacentral:lncRNA from 1 species
CAGGAUCCAAAAUUAUUAUAUUAAGUAUUGUGCAAUAGCAAGAAAUUUUCAAUUGCACAGUAUUCAGCAAUAGCAAGAAAUCUUCAAUUGCACAGUUUUGUGCAAUAGCAAGAAAUUUUCAAUUGCACAGUAUUACGCAAUAGCAAGAAAUCUUCAAUUGCACAGUAUUGUGCAAUAGCAAAUAUUUUCAAUUGCACAGUAUUGCGCAAUAGCAAGAAAUAUCUAAUUGCACAAUAUUGUGCAAAAGCAAGAAAUUUUCAAUUGGAGUUAUCUUUCUUUGUCCAGAACAGUAGUUGAAUCAACUUAAAUCAUUGUUUUAUACAAUAUACAAUGUAUAUUCACUUUUACUACCAACUGAUAAAUUAAAACAAUCUUUACCAUUCAGUGAUAACAAGCACUUUUUUUAACAUUUUAAUAUUUUAUGAUGUAUUUAAAUGAGUAGUUAUUGUUGCAAACUCCAUUAGAAAUUUGAAUUGAGAUCAGUUUUGGAAAAAGGGAAAGGGGGAUGUGAAAAAAAAAUGGGGGGGGGGGGGGGGGGGUUAAAUUUUUUCUCAUUUCAGAUUUCAUAAAUAAAAAGAAAAUUUCUUCAAACAUUUUUUUGAGAGGAUUAAUAUUCAACAGCAUAGUGAAUUGCUCAAAGGCAAAAACAAUAUUUUAAGUUCAUUAGACCACAUUCAUUCUGUGUCAGAAACCUAUGCUGUGUCAACUAUUUAAUCACAAUCCAAAUUUAGAGCUGAAUCCAGCAUGAAUGUUGUGUCCAUACUUGCCCCAACCGUUCAGGGGGGGGAGGGGGUUAAAUUUUUUCUCAUUUCAGAUUUCAUAAAUAAAAAGAAAAUUUCUUCAAACAUUUGUUUUGAGAGGAUUAAUAUUCAACAGCAUAGUUAAUUGCUCAAAGGCAAAAACAAUAUUUUAAGUUCAUUAGACCACAUUCAUUCUGUGUCAGAAACCUAUGUUGUGUCAACUAUUUAAUCACAAUCCAAAUUUAGAGCUGAAUCCAGCUUGAAUGUUGUGUCCAUACUUGCCCCAACCGUUCAGGGUUCAACCUCUGCGGUCGUAUAAAGCUGCGCCCUGCGGAGCAUCUGGUUUAAUUUUAGAC